rnacentral:rRNA from 1 species
GAGUUUGAUCCUGGCUCAGGAUGAACGCUGGCGGCGUGCCUAACACAUGCAAGUCGAACGAAGCAAUCGGGAUGAAGUUUUCGGAUGGAUUCCUGGUUGACUGAGUGGCGGACGGGUGAGUAACGCGUGGAUAACCUGCCUCACACUGGGGGAUAACAGUUAGAAAUGGCUGCUAAUGCCGCAUAAGCGCACAGUACCGCAUGGUACGGUGUGAAAAAACCCAGGUGGUGUGAGAUGGAUCCGCGUCUGAUUAGCCAGUUGGCGGGUAACGGCCCACCAAAGCGACGAUCAGUAGCCGACCUGAGAGGGUGACC